AGUGAACGCUGGCGGUAGGCCUAACACAUGCAAGUCGAACGGCAGCACAGGAGAGCUUGCUCUCUGGGUGGCGAGUGGCGGACGGGUGAGGAAUACAUCGGAAUCUGCCCAGUCGUGGGGGAUAACGUAGGGAAACUUACGCUAAUACCGCAUACGACCUUCGGGUGAAAGGGGGGGAUCGCAAGACCUCUCGCGAUUGGAUGAGCCGAUGUCGGAUUAGCUAGUUGGCGGGGUAAUGGCCCACCAAGGCGACGAUCCGUAGCUGGUCUGAGAGGAUGAUCAGCCACACUGGAACUGAGACACGGUCCAGACUCCUACGGGAGGCAGCAGUGGGGAAUAUUGGACAAUGGGCGCAAGCCUGAUCCAGCCAUACCGCGUGGGUGAAGAAGGCCUUCGGGUUGUAAAGCCCUUUUGUUGGGAAAGAAAUCUUUCAGGCUAAUACCCUGGGAGGAUGACGGUACCCAAAGAAUAAGCACCGGCUAACUUCGUG
rnacentral:rRNA from 1 species